GUGUCAGCCGCCGCGGUAAUACGAACCGUCCAAACGUUAUUCGGAAUUACUGGGCUUAAAGGGUACGUAGGCGGCGCUGUCAGUCGGGUGUGAAAUCCCACGGCUCAACCGUGGAACUGCGCCCGAUACUGCAGUGCUUGAGGGAGACAGAGGUAAGCGGAACUGAUGGUGGAGCGGUGAAAUGCGUUGAUAUCAUCAGGAACACCGGUGGCGAAAGCGGCUUACUGGGUCUCUUCUGACGCUGAGGUACGAAAGCUAGGGGAGCGAAGGGGAUUAGAUACCCCCGUAGUCCUAGCCGUAAACUCUGAGCACUUGAUCGGGGAACCCCCCAUAGUUUCUCGGUCGUAGCGAAAGUGUUAAGUGCUCCGCCUGGGGAGUAUGGUCGCAAGGCUGAA
rnacentral:rRNA from 1 species